GAAAUUUUAGGUUAAUUAAACUUUUAGCCUUCAAAGCUAAUAAUAGGGGUUAAAACCCUUAAAUUUUA
rnacentral:tRNA from 1 species